AUACGGAGGAUCCGAGCGUUAUCCGGAUUUAUUGGGUUUAAAGGGUGCGCAGGCGGCCAUUUAAGUCAGCGGUUAAAUCGUGGGGCUCAACCCCAUUCUGCCGUUGAUACUGGGUGGCUUGAUUGCGGUCGAGGUUGGCGGAAUUCGUUGUGUAGCGGUGAAAUGCAUAGAUAUGACGAAGAACACCGAUUGCGUAGGCAGCUGACCAGACCGCAAAUGACGCUCAUGCACGAAAGGGCGGGGAUCGAACAGGAUUAGAUUACCUGGUAGUCCGCACAGUAAACGAUGAAUACUUGUUUUCGGCGAUAUAAUGUCGGAGGCAAAGCGAAAGCGAUAAGUAUUCCACCUGGGGAGUACGCCGGCAACGGUGAAACUCAAAGGAAUUGACGGGG
rnacentral:rRNA from 1 species